ensembl:lncRNA
CUUUUUUAUAUAAACCAAAAUGUUAUAUAUUACUCCAAUGACAUAAUUCUAAAAUUGGAUUAAUUAAUUAAAAACCUAUAAUAUGUAUCUUCCUUUAGCUCAGAUGGCAAAGAAUCUGCCUGCAAUACAGGAGACCUGGGUUUGAUCCCUGGGUGAGGAAAAUCCUCUGGAGAAGGGAAUGGCAAUCCACUCCAGGUUUCUUGCCUGGAGAAUCCCAUGGAUGGAGGACCCUGGCAGGCUUCAGUCUAUGGGGCUGCAAAGAGUCAGACUUGACUAAGCGACUAACACUACUAAUAGGGGACUGGAAUGCAAAAGUAGGAAGUCAAGAAACACCUGGAGUAACAGGCAAAUUUGGCCUUGGAGUAUGGAAUGAAGGAGGGCGAAGAACACACUGGUC